rnacentral:rRNA from 1 species
UACGUAGGGCGCAAGCGUUGUCCGGAAUUAUUGGGCGUAAAGAGCUCGUAGGUGGCUUGUCACGUCGGGUGUGAAAGCUUGGGGCUUAACUCCAGGUCUGCAUUCGAUACGGGCUGGCUAGAGGUAGGUAGGGGAGAACGGAAUUCCUGGAGUAGCGGUGAAAUGCGCAGAUAUCAGGAGGAACACCGGUGGCGAAGGCGGUUCUCUGGGCCUUACCUGACGCUGAGGAGCGAAAGCGUGGGGAGCGAACAGG